GAUGAACGCUGGCGGCGUGCCUAAUACAUGCAAGUCGAGCGAACGGACGAGAAGCUUUCUUCUCUGAUGUUAGCGGCGGACGGGUGAGUAACACGUGGAUAACCUACCUAUAAGACUGGGAUAACUUCGGGAAACCGGAGCUAAUACCGGAUGAUAUUUUGAACCGCAUGGUUCAAAAGUGAAAGACGGUCUUGCUGUCACUUAUAGAUGGAUCCGCGCUGCAUUAGCUAGUUGGUAAGGUAACGGCUUACCAAGGCAACGAUGCAUAGCCGACCUGAGAGGGUGAUCGGCCACACUGGAACUGAGGCACGGUCCAGACUCCUACGGGAGGCAGCAGUAGGGAAUCUUCCGCAAUGGGCGAAAGCCUGACGGAGCAACGCCGCGUGAGUGAUGAAGGUCUUCGGAUCGUAAAACUCUGUUAUUAGGGAAGAACAUAUGUGUAAGUAACUGUGCACAUCUUGACGGUACCUAAUCAGAAAGCCACGGCUAACUACGUG
rnacentral:rRNA from 1 species